rnacentral:rRNA from 1 species
AGAUGAACGCUAGCUACAGGCUUAACACAUGCAAGUCGCAGGGUAACAUGAGGAAAGCUUGCUUUCCUUGAUGACGACUGGCGCACGGGUGAGUAACGCGUAUCCAACCUUCCCAUAACUACGGGAUAACCCGUUGAAAGACGGCCUAAUACCGUAUGAUAUCGUUUGCUGACAUCAAAUAACGAUUAAAGGUUUAGCGGUUAUGGAUGGGGAUGCGUCUGAUUAGCUUGUUGGCGGGGUAACGGCCCACCAAGGCGACGAUCAGUAGGGGUUCUGAGAGGAAGGUCCCCCACAUUGGAACUGAGACACGGUCCAAACUCCUACGGGAGGCAGCAGUGAGGAAUAUUGGUCAAUGGGCGAGAGCCUGAACCAGCCAAGUAGCGUGCAGGAAGACGGCCCUAUGGGUUGUAAACUGCUUUUAUGUGGGGAUAAAGUGCGUGACGUGUCAUGCAUUGCAGGUACCACAUGAAUAAG